AGUGGCAGACGGGUGAGUAAUGUAUAGGAAUCUACCUAGUAGUACGGAAUAAUUGUUGGAAACGGCAACUAAUACCGUAUACGCCCUACGGGGGAAAAAUUUAUUGCUAUUAGAUGAGCCUAUAUUAGAUUAGUUAGUUGGUGAGGUAAAGGCUUACCAAGACAAUGAUCUAUAGCUGAUCUGAGAGGAUGAUCAGCCACACUGGAACUGAGAUACGGUCCAGACUCCUACGGGAGGCAGCAGUGGGGAAUAUUGGACAAUGGGCGAAAGCCUGAUCCAGCCAUGCCGCAUGAGUGAAGAAGGCCUUCGGGUUGUAAAGCUCUUUUAGUGAGGAAGAUAAUGACGGUACUCACAGAAGAAGUCCUGGCUAACUCCGUGCCAGCAGCCGCGGUAAUACGGAGAGGGCUAGCGUUAUUCGGAAUCAUUGGGCGUAAAGGGCGCGUAGGCGGGUUAGUAAGUUAAAAGUGAAAUCCCAAGGCUCAACCUUGGAACUGCUUUUAAAACUGCUAGUCUAGAGAUUGAAAGAGGAUAGAGGAAUUCCUAGUGUAGAGAUGAAAUUCGUAAAUAUUAGGAGGAACACCAGUGGCGAANGCGUCUAUCUGGUUCAAAUCUGACGCUGAGGCGCGAAGGCGUGGGGAGCAAACAGGAUUAGAUACCCUGGUAGUCCACGCUGUAAACGAUGAAUGUUAAAUAUGGGAAGUUUACUUUCUGUAUUAUAGCUAACGCGUUAAACAUUCCGCCUGGGGACUACGGUCGCAAGAUUAAAACUCAAAGGAAUUGACGGGGNCCCGCACAAGC
rnacentral:rRNA from 2 species